rnacentral:rRNA from 1 species
GACGAACGCUGGCGGCGUGCCUAAUACAUGCAAGUCGAACGCAGGGGGGACGGGUGAGUAACACGUGGGUAACCUCCCAUCAGAGGGGAGAACACUUGGAAACAGGUGCUAAAACGAUACUGAUGGAUGGACCCGCGGUGCAUUAGCUAGUUGGUGAGGUAACGGCUCACCAAGGCCACGAUGCAUAGGCGACCUUAGAGGGUGAUCGGCCACACGUGUACUGAUACACGGCCCAGACUCCUCCGGGAGGCAGCAGUAGGGAAUCUUCGGCAAUGGACGAAAGUCUGACCGAGCAACGCCUCGUGAGUGAAGAAGGUUUUCGGAUCUUAAACCUCUGUUGUUAGAGAAGCGGUAUCUAACCAGAAAGCCACGGCUAACUACGUGCCAGCAGCCGCGGUAAUAC